GAAUGGUGAAGAGGAAGAAGAG
rnacentral:piRNA from 1 species